rnacentral:rRNA from 1 species
GGAUGCGAUCAUACCAGCACUAAAGCACCGGAUCCCAUCGGAACUCCGAAGCUAAGCGUGCUUGGGCGAGAGUAGUACUAGGAUGGGUGACCUCCUGGGAAGUCCUCGUGUUGCAUUCC